AAUCAACGCUGGCGGCGCGCCUAACACAUGCAAGUCGAACGAGAAAGCAGGAGCAAUCUUGUGAGUAAAGUGGCGUACGGGUGAGUAACACGUGGAUCAUCUACCCUCUUGUGGGGGAUAACCCUGGGAAACCGGGGCUAAUACCGCAUAAGUCCGAGAGGAGAAAGCAGCAAUGCGCAGGAAGAGGAGUCCGCGGCCGAUUAGCUAGUUGGUAGGGUAAAAGCCUACCAAGGCUACGAUCGGUAGCCGGCCUGAGAGGGCACACGGCCACACUGGCACUGAAACACGGGCCAGACUCCUACGGGAGGCAGCAGUGGGGAAUCUUGCACAAUGGGGGCAACCCUGAUGCAGCGACGCCGCGUGAACGAUGAAGCCCUUCGGGGUGUAAAGUUCUUUCGGCAGGGAAGAUUAUGACGGUACCUGCAGAAGCAGCUGCGGCUAACUACGUGCCAGCAGCCGCGGUAAUACGUAGGCAGCAAGCGUUGUUCGGAGUUACUGGGCGUAAAGCGUGCGCAGGCGGUUUUGUAAGUCUGUCGUGAAAUCCCCGGGCUCAACCUGGGAAUGGCGAUGGAGACUGCAAGGCUAGAGUUUGGCAGAGGGGGGUAGAAUUCCACGUGUAGCAGUGAAAUGCGUAGAUAUGUGGAGGAACACCGAUGGCGAAGGCAGCCCCCUGGGUCAAGACUGACGC
rnacentral:rRNA from 1 species